UACGAAGGGGGCUAGCGUUGCUCGGAAUCACUGGGCGUAAAGCGCACGUAGGCGGCUUCUUAAGUCAGGGGUGAAAUCCUGGAGCUCAACUCCAGAACUGCCUUUGAUACUGCGGUGCUUGAGGACUGGAGAGGAGACUGGAAUUCAUGGUGUAGCAGUGAAAUGCGUAGAGAUCAUGAGGAAGACCAGUGGCGAAGGCGGGUCUCUGGACAGUUCCUGACACUGAGACACGAAGGCCAGGGGAGCAAACGGG
rnacentral:rRNA from 1 species